CUCAGCACAAACACACACAGAAACUUUGUGUGUAUGUGCAGAAUUCCACAAUUUCCAACAGCACCCACUCCGUCAACAGCAAAAGGAGAAAAAUCCCUGAUCUAAUUCACUCAACACUCCUACGGCGCCUUCGCUUCUUACACAACAGCCGCCCCCUCUUGGAGCGCGAGCGUGUCUGUGUGAGCGUGUGUGACGCAUAGUAGGGAGACGACACGCCGUCCUACACAUUUGAACCGACAGACAGACACACACACACACAGAGACACACACACACAUGCUGUCACCAAAGGCAAGUCAAUGUAUAAACCCCACACAGGCGCUCGGAGAAGAGGAGAGCACACGGGACGUCAAGAAGUAAAGACGGAGUCAGACGGAGAAGGCAAAAAAGCAAGCGACGGAGUAAUAAGUGGAGAAAUGUGACCGUUAUCACCAUUAAUUGACUCUGACUGGAGGCUGAAUUUGGGCAAUGUGGGAAGCGUCAAAUGGACGAAAUGCCCUCAAAGGAUCAACUAAGCGCGUGUGAUUCCGGAUUUCUUUUCUGCGUCACACGUGCCCUGACGUGGCGGCAUCGUCAGGUUACUUCUUCCCCCUCACUGAGCACCUUUCAAGAAGCAGUUGCCAUGGCAGCAGCGGAGGCAGGCGCUCACGGCGCCGUGACGUUUGCCAUACGCAACGCCCCCGUUCACUCAAGACCACGGCAGGGAAAAAAAAAAAAUAAAGAAAUAAAACUCCUCGCAGCCCUCCAACACAUCAAGCGGUAUAAAAGCUGUCUGUCAUGCUCCACUAGCUGCUUCUGCCCCAAGCACCCACACACAAGGGCCUAAAAAAAAAGCCUCUGAUUACACAUUCAAGCACAAAACGAGUGCCGUUACUCGAUGAAAGUUGAAAAAAGUACACAAGUAAAACCCUCCACAUCCGCAAUUUGUCAAUUCAACAACAGACAAUUGUGAUUUUACAUACAAGGGGCAGUUGUCUUUUCGUCUGUGUGUAUUAUAUUUAAUACAGAGCGGUGGUUCAAUUACAAAGUGUGUAGAAAUAAAAUAUUCUUACGGUA